rnacentral:misc_RNA from 1 species
GAUGAAGAACGUAGCGAAAUGCGAUAAGUAAUGUGAAUUGCAGAAUUCAGUGAAUCAUCGAAUCUUUGAACGCACAUUGCGCCCGCCAGUAUUCUGGCGGGCAUGCCUGUUCGAGCGUCAUUUCAACCCUCAAGCCCCAGCGGCCUGGUGUUGGGGACCGGCGACCUCGCCGAGCCCGCCCUCCGGGGCGCGUGCCCGGUGCGUCCGCCGCCCCCGAAAUGAAUUGGCGGCCUCGUCGCGGCCUCCUCUGCGUAGUAGCACAACCUCGCAAGCGGGAGCGCGACGCGGCCACUGCCGUAAAACGCCCAACUUUUUUAGAGUUGACCUCGGAUCAGGUAGGAAUACCCGCUGAACUUAAGCAUAUCAAUAAGCGGAGGA